rnacentral:lncRNA from 13 species
GUAUCUAAAGGUUCAAACAUAUUAUUAGCUCUUAGUUGGCAUCCCAUUAUUUGCAUUUACUUCUUUCAGAGUGACGAUAAAUGUUGUCAACCGUGCUGAGUCUCUUCUUUCUGCAUUAUAGCCUUUUCUCCACUGUUGUUAUAAUAUGAGUCUUGUGGGACAUGAAGUCUCUAAGUAAGGUAUGCUGCUGUCACAAUCCCAUCUAAAUCUGCAUGUUUGUUUCUUAAACAGGGCAUGUUCGCUUCGGCUUUUUUCCCUAGCAAAUCGACAGGAGAUACAACCCGGGAGAUGUGCUAUAAAACAAACUGCGCUCUCAAAGGAAGCCGGCGGACAGCGGUGGCUAGGUUGCCACGUCAGAAUAACCAGACAGAAAAGAAAGAGAGAGAAGGACGUGAUCAAUGGACUUGAACUCUGGAGCUCCACUGCCACAGACGGAAAGGUGGGUGAAAAAAGCCAGGCCAACAGACAGGGAAGGGCUAUCAGUCAAUCCAGUUUCUCAUGGUGCAGCUGCAUUUCAAAAUACACCCUAUUCCCUACACCCAUAGGGUUCCGGCUUUGAUCAAAAGAAGUGCACUAUAUAGGGAAUAAGGUGCCAUUUAAGACGUAUCCAUAGUCUACUAGUCCACCUGAAACUGACCCUAAAGGGUCAGACACACCGAGAAAUCUGACUGCCGAUAGGUAUGCUUACUUAGUACCUCUGCCCACAGUGUCGGCAGUUAACUUUUUGAUGUUCACAUAGAACCAAUUUGCUUCGUUUAAACACUCCAGACCACGAGGUGGCAGUAGCUUGUUUGGCUUGUGUCUGCUUUAGCUAAUGUUAUACAACUGGUGGGUCUAACCCUGAUUGCUGAUUGUAUAAAACAGCAUUCCAGCCGGUGUCUAUUCCACAAAUUACCACCGGAUAAAUCUAUGACGUUAAAAUGACUAUUUACUCUGUUCCAUCUGAAUCCCACUGUCUCAUCAGCCCAGCCAGGCAAGUUAUGAACCUGAUCUCCACUACUCCACUUAUCUCACAUUUCAUUUAGAGUAACAUUUCGUUUUCAACAGCAGAGAUUUGUAUAAACCUUGCUGUCUGUCUCUCCAACAUUUGCAACAUUGUUUCAAAAUUCAAAUUCAAUCUCCAGCUGUCCCAUAGUAAUGAACGUGUAGGGAUUGAAGUCGGGACAAGACAGACAGGCAGGCAGCGAUUCUCUGCCAGUCGAAAUCAUGAAUCGGCUGGUAUCAUUUUUAUGGAUAUAUACAAGGAAAUGGUAAACGAAACGAAGUGCAGCUAGUUUGCAGUCUUUGCAGCUUCAGUUUGAAGUGAUUGUGUUUGUUGUUUUGUUGGCUAGCUCCUCUGUGUCCUGACGAGAGAGCACAUUUUCUAUGCCAGGCAAAAUAGCAUCUCUUAGAGCAUUGUUAUGGAGGUAUCCAAAUACAGUGUAUUCGGAAAGUAUUCCGACCCCUUCCCUUUUCCCACAUUUUAUUACAUUACAGCCUUCAUUUUUUCCCUCAUCAAUCUACACUAGAGGUCGACCGAUUAUGAUUUUUCAACGCCGAUACCGAUUAUUGGAGGACCAAAAAAAGCAGAUACCGAUUAAUCGGCCGUUUUUUAACAUUUAUUUGUAAUAAUGAAAAUUACAACAAUACUGAAUGAACACUUAUUCUAACUUAAUAUAAUACAUCAAUAAAAUCAAUUUAGCCUCAAAUAAA